UUUGCUUUGGAGAGGAAUUAGAUAAGGCCCAUGAGUCCUAAGUAAGUGUGAUAAGCAAGCCCUGCACUUCUAUUUACUAUUAAGCGUCAACUAAAUUUUUGAUAAUGGCAUUUCAGAGAUAAUACAAUCAAUCCAACAGUUAAUUUUGGUGUGCUUUUUGGACGGACUAAUAUGAAGACGCUGGCUAGCUCGCAUUGCCAUCAUAUAGUCUAGAAGCAAGGGCAAGGAUUAUAGGGAAAAUGAAGGUACAAUGCUCCCAAUAUAUUUUACCUUCUCGGCGAAGUUUUGGUGCUUGCGCAAGAAAAUAACACCAUCAU
rnacentral:lncRNA from 1 species